UACGGGGGGGGCGAAGCGUUGUUCGGAAUUACUGGGCGUAAAGGGCGCGUAGGCGGCCUUCUAAGUCGGACGUGAAAUCCCGUCGGCUCGAACCGAGGAACUGCGUCCGAUACUGAAAGGCUUGAAUCCGGGAGAGGGAUGUGGAAUUCCAGGUGUAGCGGUGAAAUGCGUAGAUAUCUGGAGGAACAUCGGUGGCGAAGGCGGCAUCCUGGACCGGUAUUGACGCUGAGGCGCGAAAGCCAGGGGAGCAAACGGG
rnacentral:rRNA from 1 species